CGGGGUCUUGUUUCGUUGGUUUGGAGGGCCAUCUGUGAUGAUUGAUAGGAACAGUCAGGAGGCUUGAUAUUCGGAAGUCAGAGGUGAAAUUCUUAGAUUUCCCGAGGAUCAACUAGUGCGAAGGCAUUGCCUAGGGAUGUUUUCAUUGAUCAAGAACGAAAGUCGGGGGUUCGAAGACGAUCAGAUACCGUCGUAGUCUCGACCGUAAACCAUGGUAGCUCGCGGUGUUUUGUGUAUCUUUCUUUACGAUGGCACGGGACGAAGCGUGUGGAAACUAAAGCGUUUGACCCCCUGGGGGACUAUGGUCGCAAGGCUGAAACUUGAAGAAAUUGACGGAAGGGCACCACCAGCGGUGGAGCCUGCGGCUCAAUUUGACUCAACACGGGGAAA
rnacentral:rRNA from 1 species